AUGUGUCGCCCCAUCGGGCCGCAGCGCCGCCGCCCAGUGAUUCUCCCUGUGGCUGCACUGAUUCACGCUGUCGCUGCAUCGCCCCUUCGGGCCAUAGCGUCGCGACACGUGGUCCCCGCCGUCACCCUGAGGUUGUUCCCAUGGUUGCACCACAUCACGCGCUGCCGUUGCGUCACCUUUUCGGGCCGUAGUGCCGCGGCCCGCGGUCAACCACCACACCGAGGCCAUCUGCUCCUGAGCACUUGCAAGCUCUUGGAGUCUUUGCGCUUAACCCAUUGCGACUUAGGGAUCCAUUCCAUGCUGCAAGUAGAGCAUGCUCGACUUAUUGAGCUCGAGGUUGACAAUGGGAAAUUUGAGAGAGUUGAGCUGACAUGUCUGCCAAAACUCCAACAGAUCUGGGUUAUCCCAGAAAGCCCGGAACUGCUCAUCCCUAUGCUCAGCAAACUACAACAUGUGAAUUUGGAUCAUGUUCCCGAAGGAUGUGAUUUAGCUUGGACAAUGUUUAUUCUUGAAGCUGCACCCUCCCUUAAAGAGUUGUGCAUCACAUGGGAUCAUUAUUGCAUCAUGUUCACAGGCGCAGAGUUCCAAAAGGAAAAUGGUUUGUGCGACAAGGCAGAUCUGAAGUGGAAGCCAUAUGCCCCUGGUUUCAAGCACAAGAAUCAGGUUAAGCUCACCAUCUAUGGCUUCCAGCCCGACGACAACUUUGUGCGAUACAUGAGGUGUCUCGCGGAAGCUGCGGUUAAUAUGGCAGAGAUAUCUCUACACGACCGGAAGGUCUGUGGGCACUGUGGUGACUUGGAUCUUGAGGUCAAGGACAAGAUUUGUCCAUCGAGAUAUCCACGAACCGCUGAGGAGAAGAACGAGGUAACUGAGGUGUUGGGUUUGGCUUCGCGGGCUGUAGUUCACUUCUGGUCCUAA
rnacentral:rRNA from 1 species